rnacentral:rRNA from 1 species
GACGAACGCUGGCGGCGUGCUUAACACAUGCAAGUCGAACGGCAAGGCCCUGCUUUUUUGGUGUGCUCGAUUGGCGAACGGGUGAGUAACACGUGAGUAACCUGCCCUUGACUUUGGUAUAACUUCAGGAAACUGGGGCUAAUACCGUAUAGGAGCUCCUGCUGCAUGGUGGGGGUUGGAUAUUUUCGGCUGUUGGGGAUGGACUCGCGGCUUAUCAGCUUGUUGGUGGGGUAGUUGCUUACCCAGGCUUUGACGGGUAGCCGGCCUGAGAGGGUGACCGGCCACAUUGGGACUGAGAUACGGAGCAGACUCCUACGGGAGGCAGCAGGGGGGAAUAUGGCACAAUGGGAGGAAGCCUGAGGCAGAAACGCCGCGUGCGGGAUGACGGCCUGCGGGUUGUAAACAGCUGUCGCCUGUGACGAAGCGGGAGUGACGGUAAUGGGUAAAGAAGCACCGGCUAACUACGUG